CUCCAGGACAGGUUUGGGAAGCACUGAUCUAUUUAUUUUUCAUAAUUUUUAUGAAUUAGUUUUUAUAUAUUUUAUAAUGUUAUUUUAGUACAUCAACUUAAAAUUGCCUUUGCAAUUAGCUAAAACAAUAUAAGCUGAAACCUUGGGAGAGGAAAAAUGAUCUGAUUUUCGACUACAUAAAUAUCUGUGCUGCCAGAUGUUCAGUAUCUGUGAUGAUCUAGGCUUUCUAAGUCUUUUCAUCAUAUGGAAUUAUAUGUCACCAAACUCCAAUAUAAAUUAAAUCAUUUUAAUAAAAGCAUGGGGAAUGUGCCACACUCAAGGAAAUUGAGAAAGAUGUUGUCUGAAGUAAUGGAUAAUCCAGAAGAGGAACCAAACGCAAGCAGUCUGUUCUUUGAGCACUCUGGCCUCAAAUGAAGAAUACUGAGAAACUCUGCACAGGCUCGGUGAACCACUGAAUGAUGUGCAGGAAGUUGCUUUACGCUGUCAUUCCACAAAGUCAAGGUGUUGUGAUCAUCGCUGCAUUUCUUUGUCUUGCACAACAAACACUGUCAUUCCACUUUAAAAAGAAUCAAACCAAGGACUCUUUAUUUAUCCCUGCGUUAAAGAAUAACAAAUAUUUACCGUAAAAAAUACAGUAGCAGCGCUUCAAGCAUCACAGGAAGCAUUUUGCUGCCUGUUCUGCAUUUCUUAACUGUAGGCCUGUUUUUCAUUAACCAAUAAUAUUUAUAUACAAGCCUACUUAAACUACUCAAAUCUGCUUUGUACCAUAAAUACUAAUAACCACCAUAAUGACAUGGAGUAAAACAGAAAGCCACAUGAUGAAUUAAAGAUCAUCAUAAUUUCCCUUUCCAUAAACAACUGAUAAUGCUUU